rnacentral:rRNA from 1 species
ACUCAAAUGAAUUGACGGGGACCCGCACAACCAGUGGAGCAUGUGGUUUAAUUCGAGACAAAACGAAGAACCUUACCAAGCCUUGACAUACUAUCGUUUUAAGCAUCUGGAAACAGGAGCUGAUCUAAAUUUAUUUGGAUGAUAGAACAGGUGCUGCAUGGCCGUCGUCAGCUCGUGCCGUAGGGUGUUCCCUUCAGUGGGGUAACGAGCGCAACCCUUGCCAAAUAUUAAAUAUCUAUUUGGGACUACUUAAAUUUAUUUUAGGUGGAAGUGAGGACGACGUCAGGUCAGCAUGGCCCUUAUAGCUUGGGCUACACACAUGCUACAAUGAGGCCGACAGAGGGUAGCCAAGUCGCAAGACGGAGCUAAUCCCAUCAAACGGCCUCUCAGUGGGGAUUGGGGGCUGCAAUUCGCCCCCAUGAACGCGGAAUUGGUAGUAAUCGCGGAUCAGCUAUGCCGCGGUGAAUACGUUCUCGGGUCUUGUACACACCGCCCGU